UACGGGGGGGGCAAGCGUUGUUCGGAAUUACUGGGCGUAAAGGGCGCGUAGGCGGCCAUCUAAGUCGGACGUGAAAUCCCUCGGCUUAACCGAGGAACUGCGUCCGAUACUGGAAGGCUUGAAUCCGGGAGAGGGAUGUGGAAUUCCAGGUGUAGCGGUGAAAUGCGUAGAUAUCUGGAGGAACACCGGUGGCGAAGGCGGCAUCCUGGACCGGCAUUGACGCUGAGGCGCGAAAGCUAGGGGAGCAAACGGGG
rnacentral:rRNA from 1 species